CGAUUCCAAACCUCUCUCAGAGCCAUCACGUCACGCCUCUCUCUACCGCCGCUCUUCUCUCAGCCUCUCUCAGUCGCCGUCAUCACGCAGCAAAUCGGAGAUUCCAUUCGCUCGCAGCGUCCACCUCUUCGUCUCGCAUAGCUCUCUGUCUCUGUCUCUCUCUCAGAUUUGUGGCAAAU